UACGUAGGAGGCAAGCGUUGUCCGGAAUUACUGGGCGUAAAGCGCGUGUAGGUGGUGGGACAAGUCUGCUGUGAAAGCGCCUGGCUUAACCGGGCGAGGUCGGCGGAAACUGUCGCACUCGAGGACGGUAGAGGGGGGUGGAAUUCCCGGUGUAGUGGUGAAAUGCGUAGAGAUCGGGAGGAACACCUGUGGCGAAGGCGGCCCCCUGGGCCGGCCCUGACACUGAGACGCGAAAGCGUGGGGAGCGAACAGG
rnacentral:rRNA from 1 species